rnacentral:rRNA from 1 species
UACAGAGGGUGCAAACGUUGCUCGGAUUCACUGGGCGUAAAGGGCACGUAGGUGGUUCGGUAACUCAGUCGUGGAAUCCCGCGGCUCACCCGUGGAAUUGCGACUGAAAAUGCCGGACUUGAGAGCAGGAGGGGUGAGAGGAACUCUAGGUGGAGCGGUGAAAUGCGUAGAUAUCUAGAGGAACGCCGGAGGCGAAAGCGUCUCACUGGCCUGCUUCUGACACUGAGGUGCGAAAGCCAGGGGAGCAAACGGG